CCUACGGGAGGCAGCAGUGAGGAAUAUUGGUCAAUGGACGAGAGUCUGAACCAGCCAAGUAGCGUGAAGGAUGAAUGCCCUAUGGGUUGUAAACUUCUUUUAUAUGGGAAUAAAACAGGGCAUGCAUACCUUCCUGUAUGUACCUUAUGAAUAAGGAUCGGCUAACUCCGUGCCAGCAGCCGCGGUAAUACGGAGGAUCCGAGCGUUAUCCGGAUUUAUUGGGUUUAAAGGGAGCGUAGGUGGAUUGUUAAGUCAGUUGUGAAAGGUUGCGGCUCAACCGUAAAAUUGCAGUUGAAACUGGCAGUCUUGAGUACAGUAGAGGUGUGCGGAAUUCGUGGUGUAGCGGUGAAAUGCUUAGAUAUCACGAAGAACUCCGAUUGCGAAGGCAGCUCACUGGACUGCAACUGACACUGAUGCUCGAAAGUGUGGGUAUCAAACAGGAUUAGAUACCCGUGUAGUC
rnacentral:rRNA from 1 species